UACAGAGGUCUCAAGCGUUGUUCGGAUUCAUUGGGCGUAAAGGGUGCGUAGGUGGCGCCGUAAGUCAGGUGUGAAAUUUCGGAGCUUAACUCCGAAACUGCAUUUGAUACUGCGGUGCUUGAGGACUGGAGAGGAGACUGGAAUUUACGGUGUAGCAGUGAAAUGCGUAGAGAUCGUAAGGAAGACCAGUGGCGAAGGCGGGUCUCUGGACAGUUCCUGACACUGAGGAACGAAAGCCAGGGGAGCAAACGGG
rnacentral:rRNA from 1 species